CAAAGNGUAAUUACAAAGGUGUGAUCAGG
rnacentral:piRNA from 1 species